rnacentral:rRNA from 1 species
UGGGGAAUUUUGGACAAUGGGGGAAACCCUGAUCCAGCCAUCCCGCGUGUGCGAUGAAGGCCUUCGGGUUGUAAAGCACUUUUGGCAGGAAAGAAACGUCAUGGGUUAAUACCCCGUGAAACUGAGGUACCUGCAGAAUAAGCACCGGCUAACUACGUGCCAGCAGCCGCGGUAAUACGUAGGGUGCAAGCGUUAAUCGGAAUUACUGGGCGUAAAGCGUGCGCAGGCGGUUCGGAAAGAAAGAUGUGAAAUCCCAGAGCUCAACUUUGGAACUGCAUUUUUAACUACCGGGCUAGAGUGUGUCAGAGGGAGGUGGAAUUCCGCGUGUAGCAGUGAAAUGCGUAGAUAUGCGGAGGAACACCGAUGGCGAAGGCAGCCUCCUGGGAUAACACUGACGCUCAUGCACGAAAGCGUGGGGAGCAAACAGG